UACGUAGGGUGCGAGCAUUGUCCGGAAUUAUUGGGCGUAAAGAGCUCGUAGGCGGCUUGUCGCGUCGGAUGUGAAAGCCCGGGGCUUAACCCCGGGUCUGCAUUCGAUACGGGCAGGCUAGAGUUCGGUAGGGGAGAUCGGAAUUCCUGGUGUAGCGGUGAAAUGCGCAGAUAUCGGGAGGAACACCAGUAGCGAAGGCGGCACUCUGGGCCGGUACUGACGCUGAGGCGCGAAAGCGUGGGGAGCAAACAGG
rnacentral:rRNA from 1 species